GACGAACGCUGGCGGCGUGCCUAAUACAUGCAAGUCGAGCGAGCGGCGGACGGGUGAGUAAUGUCUGGGAAACUGCCCGAUGGAGGGGGAUAACUACUGGAAACGGUAGCUAAUACCGCAUACCAUCGGAUGUGCCCAGAUGGGAUUAGCUAGUAGGUGGGGUAACGGCUCACCUAGGCGACGAUCCCUAGCUGGUCUGAGAGGAUGACCAGCCACACUGGAACGGAGACACGGUCAAGACGCCUACGGGAGGAGGCAGUGGGGAAUAUUGCACAAUGGGCGCAAGCCUGAUGCAGCCAUGCGGCGUGUAGGAAGAAGGCCUUCGGGUUGUAAAGUACUUUCAUCGAGGAGGCGUUACUCGCAGAAGAAGCACCGGCUAACUCCGUGCCAGCAGCCGCGGUAAUUC
rnacentral:rRNA from 1 species